rnacentral:rRNA from 1 species
GUAGGGGGCAAGCGUUGUCCGGAUUUAUUGGGCGUAAAGAGCGUGUAGGCGGCCAGGCAGGUCCGUUGUGAAAACUCGAGGCUCAACCUCGAGACGUCGAUGGAAACCGUCUGGCUAGAGUCCGGAAGAGGAGAGUGGAAUUCCUGGUGUAGCGGUGAAAUGCGCAGAUAUCAGGAAGAACACCUAUGGCGAAGGCAGCUCUCUGGGACGGUACUGACGCUGAGACGCGAAAGCGUGGGGAGCGAACAGGAUUAGAUACCCUGGUAGUCCACGCCGUAAACGAUGGGCGCUAGGUGUGGGGGGUGUCGACUCCCUCCGUGCCGAAGCUAACGCAUUAAGCGCCCCGCCUGGGGAGUACGGCCGCAAGGCUAAA